GUGGGGAAUUUUGGACAAUGGGCGAAAGCCUGAUCCAGCAAUGCCGCGUGUGUGAAGAAGGCCUUCGGGUUGUAAAGCACUUUUGUCCGGAAAGAAAUCUGUCUGGCUAAUACCUAGAUGGGAUGACGGUACCGGAAGAAUAAGCACCGGCUAACUACGUGCCAGCAGCCGCGGUAAUACGUAGGGUGCGAGCGUUAAUCGGAAUUACUGGGCGUAAAGCGUGCGCAGGCGGUUUUGUAAGACCGAUGUGAAAUCCCCGGGCUUAACCUGGGAACUGCAUUGGUGACUGCAAGGCUAGAGUGCGUCAGAGGGGGGUGGAAUUCCGCGUGUAGCAGUGAAAUGCGUAGAGAUGCGGAGGAACACCGAUGGCGAAGGCAGCCCCCUGGGAUGACACUGACGCUCAUGCACGAAAGCGUGGGGAGCAAACAGGAUUAGAAACCCCGGUAGUCC
rnacentral:rRNA from 1 species